UACGGGGGGGGCAAGCGUUGUUCGGAAUUACUGGGCGUAAAGGGCUCGUAGGCGGCCAACUAAGUCAUACGUGAAAUCCCUCGGCUUAACCGGGGAACUGCGUCUGAUACUGGAUGGCUUGAGUUCGGGAGAGGGAUGCGGAAUUCCAGGUGUAGCGGUGAAAUGCGUAGAUAUCUGGAGGAACACCGGUGGCGAAGGCGGCAUCCUGGACCGAUCUGACGCUGAGGAGCGAAAGCCAGGGGAGCAAAGCGGG
rnacentral:rRNA from 1 species